GAUGAACGCUAGCGGCAGGCUUAAUACAUGCAAGUCGAGGGGCAGCAGGUCUGUAGCAAUACAGAUGCUGGCGACCGGCAAACGGGUGCGUAACACGUACGCAACCUUCCCGUUACUGGGGAAUAGCCCAGGGAAACUUGGAUUAAUACCCCAUAUUAUAUUGGUUGGGCACCCGACUGAUAUCAAAGUUUUAACGGUAACGGAUGGGCGUGCGGUUGAUUAGGUAGUUGGCGGGGUAACGGCCCACCAAGCCUACGAUCAAUAGCUGAUGUGAGAGCAUGAUCAGCCACACGGGCACUGAGACACGGGCCCGACUCCUACGGGAGGCAGCAGUAAGGAAUAUUGGGCAAUGGACGCAAGUCUGACCCAGCCAUGCCGCGUGAAGGAUGAAGGUCCUCUGGAUUGUAAACUUCUUUUAUCUGGGGCGAAAAUCGGGUAUUCUUAUCCGCUUGACAGUACCAGAGGAAUAAGCACCGGCUAACUCCGUGCCAGCCGCCGCCGUAACAC
rnacentral:rRNA from 1 species